rnacentral:misc_RNA from 1 species
GAUGAAGAACGCAGCGAAAUGCGAUAAGUAAUGUGAAUUGCAGAAUUCAGUGAAUCAUCGAAUCUUUGAACGCACCUUGCGCUCCUUGGUAUUCCGAGGAGCAUGCCUGUUUGAGUGUCAUGUAAUUCUCAACCUUUUCAGCUUUCUUUGUUGAUCAGGCUUGGAUGUGGGAGUAUGCGGGCUUCUCAGAAGUCGGCUCUCCUGAAAUGCAUUAGCGGGACCUUUGUUGACUGGCUUUGGUGUGAUAAUUAUCUACGCCAUUGUGGUCAAGCAGCUUAAAAUGAGGUUUCAGCUUCUAACCGUCUCCCCUGAGACAACUUUUUGACAAUUUGACCUCAAAUCAGGUAGGACUACCCGCUGAACUUAAGCAUAUCAAUAAGCGGAGGA